rnacentral:rRNA from 1 species
GAUGAACGCUGGCGGCGUGCCUAAUACAUGCAAGUCGAGCGAAAAGACGAGGAGCUUGCUCCUCUGACGUUAGCGGAGGACGGGAGAGUAACACGUGGAUAACCUACCUAUAUGACGGGGAAAACUUCGGAAAACCGGCGCAAAUACCGGAGAAUAUCUUGAACCGCAUGGUUGAAUAGUAAAAGACGGUUUUGCGGUCAGUUAUCGCUGGAUCCGCGCCGCAUUGGCUAGUAGGGAAGUUCAAAGCUUACCAAGGGAACGAUGCGUAGGCGACCUCAGAGAGUGAUCGGCCACACUGGAACUGGGACACGGUCCAGACUCCUACGGGAGGCAGCAGUAGGGUAUCUUCCGCAAUGGGCGGAAGCCUGGCGGAGCAACGCCGCGUCAGUGAUGAAGGUCUUCGGAUCGUGAAACUCGGUUAUGGGGUAAGAACAAAUUUGUAAGUAACUAUGCACGUCUUGACGGUACCGAAUCAGAAAGCCACGGCUAACUACGUG